ensembl:lncRNA
GUUGAACAUAAAUGUGCCGCGCAUCCGCCGCGAGCCCGGCAUGACCAUCUGCUGGGGAGGUGGUGGUGAACGAAAACCAUCACUUAUCCUCUGAGAAAUGGUAAAGACACGACAGAUCAAUCAUGCAGACAGUGUUUCAUGUGGAAGGAUGAAGGACAGAAAACAGCAAAACACUUCUCAAGAGGUCGGGGAGUGAAGAAGGACUUGGCUCAUCACCAAUAUCUGAAUGUUUGCAUAUGCAUUUAAACCCACAUAUGAUUAUCUGAGGAUUAAUAAAAGUAUGAAGUACGAAAAAUAUAAAAGAAC